UACGGGGGGGGCAAGCGUUGUUCGGAAUUACUGGGCGUAAAGCGCGUGUAGGCGGCUAUGUAAGUCGGGCGUGAAAUCCUACGGCUCAACCGUGGAAGUGCACCCGAAACUGCGUAGCUAGAGUCCUGGAGAGGAAGGUGGAAUGCUUGGUGUAGAGGUGAAAUUCGUAGAUAUCAAGCGGAACACCGGUGGCGAAGGCGGCCUUCUGGACAGUGACUGACGCUGAGACGCGAAAGCGUGGGGAGCAAACAGG
rnacentral:rRNA from 1 species